AUUGAACGCUGGCGGCAUGCUUUACACAUGCAAGUCGAGCGGAUGACGGGAGCUUGCUCCUGGAUUCAGCGGCGGACGGGUGAGUAAUGCCUAGGAAUCUGCCUGGUAGUGGGGGACAACGUUUCGAAAGGAACGUUAAUACCGCAUACGUCCUACGGGAGAAAGCAGGGGACCUUCGGGCCUUGCGCUAUCAGAUGAGCCUAGGUCGGAUUAGCUAGUUGGUGAGGUAAUGGCUCACCAAGGCGACGAUCCGUAACUGGUCUGAGAGGAUGAUCACUCAGACUGGAACUGGGACACGGUCCAGCCGCCUACGGGAGGCAGCAGUGGGGAAUAUUGGACAAUGGGCGAAAGCCUGAUCCAGCCAUGCCGCGUGUGUGAAGAAGGUCUUCGGAUUGUAAAGCACUUUAAGUUGGGAGGAAGGGUUGUAGAUUAAUACUCUGCAAUUUUGACGUUACCGACAGAAUAAGCACCGGCUAACUCUGUGCCAGCAGCCGCCGUAACAC
rnacentral:rRNA from 1 species